GUUAACAGAAAUCGAGAAAAGAAAAGUGAUAUUAUUUGGUGGUUUUAGUAGUGGCAUCAGCACUAAAGUUGACGGAGCGGCAGAACGUGGCGGAGUCAGUUAAAAGUGUUUUUAUUUAUUCGCACGGUGGCCGUAAUUAAAAAGAAGUGGUCCGACAUUAAAAUCAACGUGAAAAAACGAGUGGCGGCUCACCGUAAGAGGAGACGGAGGGAGCGGAAUCCCCGGUCUCUCACUUUAUCCGGUGAGGGGGACGCCGAUGUCAGCGCGGGUAAGUUUUUCUCAUAGCAUACUUGUUUGAAUUACUUGCAUGUUUAUGAAUAACAAGUAAGGCGCAGAUGCGGUGUUACUUUUGUUUAUUAUUUUUGUUUAUUCUUACAGACAGUAGUGCAAGAGGUGCCCCCAGUGCCGAGGACGACACUGGCGGCGAUGGUGCUGCUGUGCCGAGCACAUCUUUGGGCGCUGGCUGCACACAUUCCCGUGCCUCGGAAACCGGGGUGGCGACCAUCGGGCCGUGUGCUGACUGAAACUGUGCUGCAGUCACAAAAUGCAAUAGCACAUGCUUAGCCUGAGAGGAAACUGACGUCUUCAAGAAUCUUGGACCAGUGCAACAGAAGGAGUUUCGGGAGCUCAAUGAGUAAUCGCAGGAUAUCUCCUCAGUCUGUGGCUCAGAGCACAUCAUCCCACACCACGCCCACAACCUCCACAAAGAAAUCAAGACAAAGGCAAUGAGAGCUAUUCCCCAUUCCCUCUUAAAAAGCGUGUCCUGGCUCUGCCCCAGGGCCUCCUCCUGGUUGGACAUCCUCCAGGAGGCAUCCUAGAUAGCUUCCCGAACCACCUCAGCUAAUUCCUUUCGAUGCAGAGGAACAGAGGCUCUACUUUGAGCCCCUCCUGAAUAUCUGAGCUCCUCACCCUAUCUCUAAGGC